AUCUGGGCUGCAUGGCGACACCAUCGGUAUAGAAACACAUAGCCAAGAGGCAUGCAUGUAAAACAUUGUAUGUUUCAUUCAUAGUCGGCUAUAGAGAUAUUGCAAUACAUGUAUUAGAGAGUAACUAUACUUGAGUGCACACAAAAUCAACAGGUACGCUCGAAAAAACAAUACUGCGAUUUCCAUGAAGCAUCGCUUGUGUGCGGCUACAUGUUCUGGCGGCCGACUUGUACGUCCAAGUAAAUAGGACUUAGCUCCCGCAGCAGAUAUAUGUGUAGCGGUGCCAUCUUAGAUAUCCGCCGUGAGAAGCUGAAGAAGACCAUCAGAUUUAGCGACAUUAAGCCAGAGAAAAGGAGCAGAAUGGCAGAUGUUGAGGGCGAGAAGAGAGGAUUUUGGCAUAGGUUGCAACUCAAAUUGCACACAAUGGCACGUACAUGUAGUAAGAUGAGAUCCCAAGCAGCUUGAGUGAUUCCGACCAGAUGCGCUAGUCGGUAAGUACGUACGUAACGGCAACGGAGAUCAAUUUCUUUCGGCUGUCAGUACCCGCACAUAAAAGACAUGAUUGAUGGCAAGUUCGCAACAAAAUUAAGGGCAUACUUGUCUGAACAACGACCAAUCCUUAGAAGAGAUGCAUGCAACCUCCUGAGCAUAUGACAUAUACAUUCUCCCGGUUGAGUCUGCACUUUAUUGAUCUUUAUGGCCUGAAACAGAACGCAUACGAACAUGAACAUGAUGUGUUUAUUUAGAUCUAACAACAAUUGAUCUUUAGACGGUGGCAGAGAGAGAAGAGAUGGAGGAGGAUGCGCUGCCGAUUUGGAUUGAUGUCCCCAGCGAGGUGUGCUUUAAUUCCUUUCUUUUUUCCCCCUUGCAUGCACUCAUGAACAUAUGUACUGAUCCUCGUGAUUUGAUUGAUUUGAUUUUGAAUAUGCAUCCAACAGAAAGUACGGGCCAUCUAUCCUUUAAGAUCGGGGGAAAGGAUUAGAGAAAGCACAACUAUCCGGCCUUAAAAUUAGAGAUGUGGAGAUUAAAUAGGAGGAGAGAGAGAGAGAUUAGAGACCAGACCCCAUAGUUAAAAUCGGAGAGAGAAAAAUUAGGGAUAAACUACACGCAUGGGUGAGUGGAUAAUAGGAG
rnacentral:lncRNA from 1 species